UGCACGCAUGACAGGUGUUCGACACAUGCUAGGUGGUUUGAAUACACACAGCAUGGUCGUUCUGAGAUUAUACUGUCACAACUUGAUCUAGAUAAUACUAGCGAAAGGACAUGCGUGGCUUGAAUU
rnacentral:ncRNA from 2 species